rnacentral:ncRNA from 3 species
UCUUUGGUGAUCUAGCUGUAUGA